rnacentral:rRNA from 1 species
GACGAACGCUGGCGGCGUGCUUAACACAUGCAAGUCGAGCGGUAAGGCCCUUUCGGGGGUACACGAGCGGCGAACGGGUGAGUAACACGUGGGUGACCUGCCCUCAGCUCUGGGAUAAGCCUGGGAAACCGGGUCUAAUACCGGAUAUGACUCCAUGACGCAUGUUGUGGGGUGGAAAGCCUUGUGCGGCUGAGGAUGGGCCCGCGGCCUAUCAGCUUGUUGGUGGGGUGAUGGCCUACCAAGGCGACGACGGGUAGCCGGCCUGAGAGGGCGACCAGCCACACUGGGACUGAGACACGGCCCAGACUCCUACGGGAGGCAGCAGUGGGGAAUCUUGCGCAAAUGGGCGAAAGCCUGACGCAGCGACGCCGCGUG